rnacentral:rRNA from 1 species
UGGGGAAUAUUGCACAAUGGAGGGAACUCUGAUGCAGCGACGCCGCGUGAUUGAUGAAGGAAUUCGUUUCGUAAAACUCUAUUCUAUGGGAAGAAAAGGACUGUACCAUAGGAGAAAGCUCCGGCUAAAUACGUGCCAGCAGCCGCGGUAAUACGUAUGGAGCGAGCGUUGUCCGGAAUUAUUGGGAGUAAAGGGUGCGCAGGCGGAUUUACAAGUUGGAUGUGAAAUAUUGUGGCUCAACCACAAACGUGCAUCCAAAACUGAAAAGCUUGAUUUAAGGAGAGGUAAGUGGAAUUCCUGGUGUAGCGGUAGAAUGCGUAGAUAUCAGGAGGAAUACCGGUGGCGAAAGCGACUUACUGGACUUAAACUGACGCUCAGCCACGAAAGCGGGGGGAGCAAGCAGG